rnacentral:rRNA from 1 species
UACGUAGGGACCAAGCGUUGUCCGGAAUCAUUGGGCGUAAAGAGCGUGUAGGCGGCUUGUUAAGUCUUGCGUGAAAUCUCGGGGCUCAACCCCGAGCGGUCGUGAGAAACUGGCAGGCUAGAGUGCGGGAGAGGAGAGUGGAAUUCCUGGUGUAGCGGUGAAAUGCGCAGAUAUCAGGAAAAACACCCGUGGCGAAGGCGGCUCUCUGGAACGCAACUGACGCUGAGACGCGAAAGCGUGGGGAGCAAACAGG